CCCCCCAGCAGCUUCCCUGGCCCAUCUGGUUCAACACACAGAGACUGCGACACUCCGGCAGAAAACACUGAAGAUCUUUCAAGUGACUCUGACGAAUCGGAAGAUGGUUGUG